UGUGGGCCCCACAUGGGCAGUUGAUGGGCAUGGUGGGCUAGGUGGGCCAUGGGCUAGAGAUGGGCAAAUAUGUGGGCUGCAUGUGGGCCCCACAUGGGCUGCCCACAUAUUUUUUGGCAGGCAUAAUGCUUGAUAAUGAGAUUGCUUGCACAUGUACGAGGGCAUAUCCAGGAAUUUUGGUGAACACAGGCAUUCACGCGGUGUUCCUGUAUGGUGGGCUUAACAUGGGCACUGCGUGGGCAGCCCAUGUAGUGGGGUGUAGGUGGGCUGGAUGUGGGCAGCCCAUUAUUUAUUUUUUCACUGUCCAAUGUGUAUGAUAUUACAAGAAAAAAGAACUCGCUGUUUAGCCUCAUGCCUCCAAAAUACACUUCGACGUCGUGAGGAAGUCGCAUAGUUGAUGUUUGUGAGACCAGCUACGGCUGAUAUUGGACAGUCAAUGUUGUGAUUGUGUCGUAUGAUUGUGUCGCCUGAGCCCGCCCCUGCGCGGGCGACCCGCCGGCGGAGCUCGGCCCACCGGACGGGGCCUGGGCCCGCCUCUGCACCGCCCGGGGCGGUGACCGGCCGACCGGCUGACGGGGCUGCGGCGUCUGGGCGGGCCAGUUGGCGUUGAGACUCCGAGUGGUGUGCGUGUCCAAUAAAGCCUUAAUUCGGGCGGAACUACUGGCCCGGGAUCUACCGGGAUGUGGAAAAUGUCACCCGCUGCUGUACCAGCUGCCAGAGAGAUCUACCCGCUCAGCAGCAAGAGACCAUGAUGAGGAGACCGCUAGCGGAAAGGCCGUUCGAACUAAACAUCGACUUUGCCGAUCACGCCGGCAGGAAGUACCUCGUGGCAGUGGACAGAUACUCCGGGUGGCUGUUUGUCGCCGACCUCGGUGUAAGCGCCCCCGCUUACACCGGUCCGAAGGACGAUAGCAGGCGUCAUUACGAGCGCACUCGCUACGCGACGAAGCGUAAAUGGACGGCACGGGAAAAGGGCUUUCGGCGGUACCCGGCUUUUUGAUAUCGUGUUCAGAGCCGUGCGGCGGAACGGGCUUACCCAGGACACCAACAACGGCCAGCUGGAGGUGGCGCCACGAAAGUGGUUUACGGGUGCCAGGAACCGCGACGGAGGCCGCCAGGAGAGGAGACCAGCUGGAGGAGCAGAUGAGAGAAGAAGUCUAGAGAUGAACAGAAGAGAGGAGAGAGUUUAAACAGCAUUUUUGUGUUUAUCGAUAAUAUACAUAUUGAUCACUGA